ensembl:lncRNA
CUCGCGGAGGUCUUUCCUCCUGGCUGAUGUUAGCGAUGUGUCAGCAUUAAGCUCGGCCUGCCUGCUAGGCCGCGGUGGCGACCAGCCGAGCCUGGCCCGAAGCCAGACCAGACAUGUCUUGGCACCAGACAACAGAGACGUGACGGGACGGGACCAAGGAUUGGCAGAAAAAUAUGAUCGUGCAGUAUUGCUGAUCCAUAUUACCACCAAAGUACACAGGAAUGUUUAUUAUGCAUAUUCCUUAAGGGAUAAUAACUUGAGAUUUUCCGCCUCUUUUUUCCCUUUCUUUUGGAUUCAACAGUGUACUCUGAAGGGAGAAAGAAACAGCGGGAGGAAGCAGCGGAUGAAAGAAGACAUCCACAAAGAUCCCGCGUCCGACUCCAAACGUGGAAGUCGUAGUUACAUGUGCUUGUUGGGGUCAAAGGCUGAAGGCUGGUGAGUGGUGACCUUAGGGAGAGGCCUGGGUGCGAUCUGACCCCUGAGUGGAUGUGCGGGCUGACUCUGGAGGAUGCAGCGCAACAAAGGGCGGCACGUGCCUCGUCGUCGUCACCAUGGUAACAUAGGACCUUUUUGGAACGGUAGGGGGGAGGGCGAGGUCAAAGCUUAGUCAUUAUUCUGAUCGGUGUUAACCGUCUGCUGCCAAUUUGGUUUUACAAAUAUAACAACGUGCCCAUCAAAGAACAGGGGGCGUGUGUGUGUGUGUGUGUGCGUGUGUGCGUGUGUUUUCUGCCUUGCGGGGAAAUAAAUCAGAUUACACAGUCAUAUGGAAGGGACCCACAUAUUUUUUUGGGACAAAAUACAUGUCCCCAUUACGUAAACCUUUACAAUUUAAGGUGAGGACUUGGUUAAUGUUAAGGGUUAUCUCCAGAUAAGAAAUCUCCAAGAAAGUGAUGUAAAUGUUAUAUCCCCAAAAGUGAAGAAUCUAAGGGCUGACUG